CCGUGACAUCAAGAUCAAGCGCCAGCUGACCCCAGAAGUCCGUCAUGUUUUCCUUGUUUUCUGCGGAUUUAAGGUGUGGCGGAGGACCAGGCGCGAGGACACGGUCAGAUGUUGAUGGCAGCGGACAACACAUGCAUCAUUUGCUUUGGAUGAAGAACGAAAGCAAGCUGACAUUCUGAGACACUUCCGGCUCCCACGAGCAUGAAAAACUAAGAGGCUUGUAUUCUUAACCCGUCCGCUUCGAUUGGUGUGGAUUUCGCCUUCACUGGUAGCCUGGCAUUAUGGAAGACCCCAGGAAGAAUCAGCCCCAGACAGUAAUGGAGAGGGAAGAGAAGAAGGAAGAUAAGGAGGGAGAACUGUCCAGCAGGAGUAUAUGUGGAUUCGCACCCAAGAUCCGUCCAACACCAUGAGAGAAAUUUGAGUGUUAGGCGGACACGGGCGAACUAUAGUCAAACCAUUUCAAAUAGUCCGUUGAGGUGAUGACUUCCAUGGGUCCUUUCCUCUCCCCUGCUCUACCACACAAUCCCAACACCUAUUUUUUCCUCUCAUAUGUUACUUAUAGCUAACAUAUGAGGGGAAGAGAUGAAUGUUGGGGCUGUGUGGCAGAGCAGAGGGGAGGAAAGGACCCACGAAAGCCAACGCCUCAAUGGACUGUUUGAAGUGGUUUGAUUAUAGCAGUUAUCCGGAGCAGUGGUUCACCGCCCCUUGCCUCAUUGUUAUCCGAGAAAUCUGCGGGUGUGAAGCGAGUCUAUGUCUUCACUCUUCACCGUGAGGCGGGUCUUGGCCAUUUGACCCACGAUCUCCACGCCAAGAACUCCUCUACCUUCUAACCAUCUCCACUACCACGUUGCUGAGUAUAUGGCGCUGACCCCUGUCCAUUGACCUCCACCCCAACCCCCCACAUGGCUGAGGGACCUGAGGACAUGACGCCCUCCCUAUGCUGACUACAUCGCAGACACCUGUGCACUGACCUCCACGCCAACCCCUCAUCCCCCCACCCACAAUGAAAUCUUUAACCCCUUGACUGUGGAUUUCCUACAAGAAAACAUCACCAAGCUACAAGAAUGAAAUAAAAAGUGGCUGCUACAAUUCAGUGAAGAGAAAUAUAAAGUCCUGCACCUUGGGAGGGGAAAUCCAGCAUACCAAUACCACGUGGCAACGCUCCACUAUCCACCACAGAGGCAGAGACCUGGGAGUAUAUGUUACCAGGCUACCAGUGAAGGCAAAAUCCAUGCUAAUUGCAGUGGAUGGGUUAAGGUGACAUCGCCCUCCAGUUCCAUGGCAGAUGAACCCUGGGUGACCUGAUGUCCCACGGUGACAACUCAACCCCAUGCUCACUUGUUCUGACUACUAACUGUCAACAUACCCACUCUCAUUCAUAUGCUGACACCUCCAUGCUGACCUCUGUACCUGUGUCUCUUUGACCCAACUGUGCUUGCUGGAUAUUGAUACGGAAGUUCUGUAAUAAAGAUCUGUCCAUAUA